rnacentral:lncRNA from 1 species
CAAAGAAGCACUUACCAACCUAAUCAAGCUGUGGGGGGAAGAGAAGAGAGAGACAAUUGGUGGGAUGUUGCCCUUGAGCAGUGUCCUUGAAGAAUGGAAGAGCAGCAGCAGGAAGGAGAGCUCCUGCUUGUUGCCCUCUGAAUUGAGGCUCACCAUCAACCUGAAGGGAUGUCUGUUGUGCCUCACGUAGUUCACAGUGUGCAUUCAGUAUCAGACUACAACCAGCCCCUCUUCUGCUUAACGGAAGGCCAGAAGGCAGGAGCUGUGAGAAGCGGAGAACAGCGACAGGGACGGGGCGGGCUGGCAUCGCCUCACGCAGCAGCAGGCGAGCCAAGGGCUGGCAAGUCUCGCCCCCUCCCCGAGUACCAGGACAGCUGCACUGAAUCCAG